GGAUCCAGACUUUGAUUCUGGCUCAGGAUGAACGCUAGCUACAGGCUUAACACAUGCAAGUCGAGGGGAAACGAUAGAGAAAGCUUGCUUUUUCUAGGCGUCGACCGGCGCACGGGUGAGUAACGCGUAUCCAACCUGCCCACCACUUGGGGAUAACCUUGCGAAAGUAAGACUAAUACCCAAUGACGUCCAUAGAAGACAUCUGAAAUGGAUUAAAGAUUUAUCGGUGAUGGAUGGGGAUGCGUCUGAUUAGCUUGUUGGCGGGGUAACGGCCCACCAAGGCGACGAUCAGUAGGGGUUCUGAGAGGAAGGUCCCCCACAUUGGAACUGAGACACGGUCCAAACUCCUACGGGAGGCAGCAGUGAGGAAUAUUGGUCAAUGGACGAGAGUCUGAACCAGCCAAGUAGCGUGCAGGAUGACGGCCCUAUGGGUUGUAAACUGCUUUUAUAAGGGAAUAAAGUGAGUCUCGUGAGACUUUUUGCAUGUACCUUAUGAAUAAGGACCGGCUAAUUCCGUGCCAGCAGCCGCGGUAAUACGGAAGGUCCGGGCGUUAUCCGGAUUUAUUGGGUUUAAAGGGAGCGUAGGCCGGAGAUUAAGCGUGUUGUGAAAUGUAGACGCUCAACGUCUGCACUGCAGCGCGAACUGGUUUCCUUGAGUACGCACAAAGUGGGCGGAAUUCGUGGUGUAGCGGUGAAAUGCUUAGAUAUCACGAAGAACUCCGAUUGCGAAGGCAGCUCACUGGAGCGCAACUGACGCUGAAGCUCGAAAGUGCGGGUAUCGAACAGGAUUAGAUACCCUGGUAGUCCGCACGGUAAACGAUGGAUGCCCGCUGUUGGUCUGAAUAGGUCAGCGGCCAAGCGAAAGCAUUAAGCAUCCCACCUGGGGAGUACGCCGGCAACGGUGCAACUCAAAGGAAUUGACGG
rnacentral:rRNA from 1 species